rnacentral:lncRNA from 1 species
GUCCCAGAGUGGAAUGCGAUCUUCAGUGUCAUGACUAUGGUUACAAUGGUAGAAGCAGUAUUUACUCGAAUUGUGGUGGCGCUCUGGCCUUGUCUGCAACUUUGGAGGCUGAGGUAGCUCGGCUCGUAUCUUCAUCAAUACCUCUCUUCUGUAAACAAUCAAAGAUAUAUAGUUAGUAUAAUACCUUGAAAGUGAGGGUUGUCGG